AUUAUGGAUACCUUGUUUACAACUUUUCUGUCAAAAUAGAUGCCGACCAGCUGUUGCUUGGCACGAGCAACAUAAAUAAGUUUACAGAAGACGAAAUUACUGCUACAAUUAUUCUUCAUGCUAACUAGUUAUAUCAUUUAUAGAAUAUGACUUCUAUGUUGGAUUGGUUAAUGCUAAGUUUGGUAUUGCAGUCGCAGCUUCAGUGGACGAGAGUUCAUGCCGUCCAGCAGCAACAGUGUUCAAACUGGGUUAUUGUGCUGUCCCAGAUGCUGCCCCUCGUAUGAGAAGUGGCCAGAUCCCAUGUCGCUUCGCGCAUAACAGCUCGUCCUUUAUUCGGAUUGGAACGGACACGGAACAAUUCAGUGAAAGAGUAUCGAUGUGAUGACACCCUUUUGACGAUGUUGGUCAGGGAACCUGUGAUGAUGUGGUGCAAAAAAUGCUACCGGCAUCACCUUCGUUCCGCUAUUGCACUUGACCCGAGCUAGGACCGCGACGGCGCUGACGAACUUGCGGCAGCGGUGAUGAUGCGUAUCCCUCCUUCGAAAUUGCGGUGCUGAGAUGAUGAUAAAGUAGAAGCUUGUGUGGAAUAAGGCUGCAGCCAGAACGGAAUGAAUAUUUGUUUUCUUUGAACUGGAACGGCAACAGUGGCAGCAUAGACGAUCGUCUCGAAUAUGACGACUGCAAC